UACGUAGGGUGCAAGCGUUGUCCGGAAUUAUUGGGCGUAAAGGGCGCGUAGGCGGCUGUACAAGUCAAAGGUGAAAUCCCUCGGCUCAACUGAGGAACUGCCUUUGAAACUGUACGCUUGAGGCCGGGAGGGGGUAGCGGAAUUCCCAGUGUAGCGGUGAAAUGCGUAGAUAUUGGGAGGAACACCAGCGGCGAAGGCGCUACCUGGACCGGUUCUGACGCUGAGGCGCGAAAGCGUGGGUAGCAAACAGG
rnacentral:rRNA from 1 species